rnacentral:tRNA from 1 species
GGCCUUGUAGCUCAGCUGGUAGAGCAUCGGUGUACAUCCGAAGGUCGUGGGUUCGAAUCCCAGCGAGGUCG